AUUUAGAAAUUAGGAUAACAAGAAUAUUUGAGGAUAAAUGAGUAUUCUUUGAGAAUUUUUCAUCAGUAUGUUGUAAUUUCAAAUAAUUUUCUUAAAAGCUGCUAUUUUUGGAAAGUUUUUGUGGAUAAAUGAUUAUUCUUUCAGAAUUUUUCAUCAAUAUGUUGUACUUUUAAAUAAUUUCCUUAAAACCUACUAUUUUUGGAAAGUUUUCAUUUUUUAAAAAUAAUGUGGAUUUGGGUUUGUGAUUUAGAAAUUAGGAUAACAAGAAUAUUUGUGGAUAGAUGAGUAUUCUUUCAGAAUUUUUCAUCAAUAUUUUAUAUUUUUAAAUAAUUUCCUUAAAACCUGCUAUUUUUGGAAAGUUUUCAUUUUUUGAGAAAUAAUGUGGAUUUGGGUUUGUGAUUUAGAAAUUAGGAUAACAAGAAUAUUUGUGGAUAGAUGAGUAUUCUUUCAGAAUUUUUCAUCAAUAUGUUGUAUUUUUAAAUAAUUUUUUUAAGACCUGCUAUUUUUGGAAGGUUUUCAUUUUUUGAGAAAUAAUGUGGAUUUGGGUUUGUGAUUUAGAAAUUAGGAUAACAAGAAUAUUUGUGGAUAGAUGAGUAUUCUUUCAGAAUUUUUCAUCAAUAUGUUGUAUUUUUAAAUAAUUUUCUUAAAACCUGCUUUUUUUGGAAAGUUUUCAUUUUUUGAGAAAUAAUGUGGAUUUGGGUUUGUGAUUUAAAAAAUAGGAUAACAAGAAUAUUUGAGGAUAGAUGAGUAUUCUUUCAGAAUUUUUCAUCAAUAUGUUGUAUUUUUAAAUAAUUUUCUUAAAACCUGCUAUUUUUGGAAAGUUUUCAUUUUUUAGAGAAAUAAUGUGGAUUUGGGUUUGUGAUUUAGAAAUUAGGAUAACAAGAAUAUUUGUGGAUAGAUGAGUAUUCUUUCAUAAUUUUUCAUCAAUAUGUUGUAUUUUUCAAUAGUUUUCUUAAAACCUGCUAUUUUUGGAAAGUUUUUAUUUUUUGAGUAAUAAUGUGGAUUUGGGUUUAUGAUUUAGAAAUUAGAAUAACAAGAAUAUUUGUGGAUAGAUGAGUAUUCUUUCAGAAUUUUUCAUCAAUAUGUGUAUU
rnacentral:lncRNA from 1 species